ensembl:lncRNA
GUAAGUUUGGGCUUCUUUCCCUCAGUAAAAUGAAAAUCACUGGACUGAAAGAUUGUUAAUGACUUAAGUGAUGUCUGUUUUAAGUAGAACUCAAGAGACUUGGUUUGAAGUUCUAGGUCUGCCAUUAAGAAUCUAUCGGUCCUCAAGCUACUCAUUCAAUUUAUUUUGACCUCAGUUUUCUCAUCUAUAAAAGGGAAUACACAGCAUGAGGUCCUAAGGAAAGAACUCUUUACCUAUGUGAUCUUAGACAAAUCAGACAAUCUCUCUGAGCUUCAGUUUCCUCCUCUGUAAAACAGGGUAGUUGGACUAGGUAUUCUCACCUUUGAGAUCCCUUUCAGCUAAAUCUAUGACUAUAUUAGAGUCUAUAUUUAGUAAAUCCAUUAAAGGUUCUAAAGAGGAAUGAAAUUUUGCUAUUAUUUCAUUUGAUUUCAUGUCUCUGAAAGAAAUUUAACAUGCAUUGAUAUUCUUUAACAAAGAAUGUCAAUAUUUGUAUAGGUUCUCAACUGUGUUUGGAAAACUUUGACCUUGUGUCUAUUUGGUUUGUUCUUUGUAUACGAAGACUGAUAACUUGAAGAAGCAGUGACUUGAACCAUUCUUUCCAUUAAUCUGUUGGCCUUCCUGCCUCCUUCCCACGGGGUCCAUGUUGUCUCCACUCAAGAAAAUGACCCACUCCUUCACUGACUGUUGUGUGCCAAGCUGAUGAGGGUGUGGCCACUGGCUGUUUUCCAAAACUGAUCUCUAUAUGUGAUGUUACUUCAAGUUUUAUCCUUAGCAUCUGUUUAAUUUGUGUUGCUCACUCAGUUACUUUUCAGUUUUUCACAUAGCAGGUCAUUAGAUGUCUUCCUGUUGACUGAGAGCCAGCCCAUCUGAUCAGUGUGUGGACAAGCACCCCUCUGAUGAACAAGCUGCAUUUCAGCACCUUGGCUUGGGAAUGAAUAUUAUUUGCCCUUGAUGAUUAAGUAUGACUCAAAGAGUACACUUGAAUUUACAUAUAUAUUUGCCCAAAUAGAAUUCUGAUUUCUAAAUUUAAUAUUCAAAUUGGUUUUAUUUGACAGAUAAAAAAAUUUUUGCUCCAUGUCCUUUAUGUGUUCAGAAACUAAGGAUGGGAUUAUAUGUUAAGAAAACUUCAUUUAUAAGUCUCCCUUGUUCAUUUCCAAAUAUGAAUUUUGCAAGUAAAAGCAUGCCACUACUAAUCUCUAGUUAUGUUUAUAUAUCAUUUGACAAAAACUGAAGGCAUACUAAUAUAUUCAGUUAAAAAAAAAAUCUGGAUUAGAUUGACUGAGCUCACCUGUCUGAAAAAACAGAAUGGAAACUCAUUACACUUAUACAAGUCCAAAUUUACAGUUUUCAUUACCUGGGAGAUUGACAGGUCAAGUGAUUUGCCCAGGACUAAUAUAUCUCAGACAGUGCUGCAAGCCAUGUCUUUCUGCCUCCUGGGCCAUUCUUUUAGCACUAUGAAAUAAAAUCUUUCCUAGUUUGCAAUGGGCCAGAACUCUGAAACCAGGAUUCUUACAAGGUGUUAACUAAGUGGAAUUGAUAAGACAAUGGUUAUCUAAUUUAGCAUGAUGAUUAAUAGUUCUCUAAUUUCAAUAUGAUUGAUUUACUCUUACAACAAAUAAUAGUUUCCUGGUGAUAUAAUGAUUGGCUUAUACUCAGUACUACAUAUAAACUGGGACAAACUCAGCCAGAGGAAAGCUUAGAGACAGACUCAGAGAAGACAGAGGACUGGAGGUGGGAACUCAAGCUCUCUGAGCCAAGGAGAGACAUUCAUUCCAUCUCCCACCUUUGUGGUGGCUGGAGGCUAGAGCACAAGCCCUCAGACUCAGAGAGACAUUCCCUCUUUGAUCAGGCUCCUGGUGGUUCUCCUUCAUUUCUCCACUGAAACCAUGUCCUAUCUGAAGGGCUUCUAGAAAGCUAGCCAGGCCCCAAGUGAAGGAGACAGAUUUUGAAGGAGAUAAUAAAGAA